CAGCCGCCGCGGUAAAACGUAGGUCCCGAGCGUUGUCCGGAUUUAUUGGGCGUAAAGCGAGCGCAGGCGGUUAGAUAAGUCUGAAGUUAAAGGCUGUGGCUUAACCAUAGUACGCUUUGGAAACUGUUUAACUUGAGUGCAAGAGGGGAGAGUGGAAUUCCAUGUGUAGCGGUGAAAUGCGUAGAUAUGUGGAGGAACACCGGUGGCGAAAGCGGCUCUCUGGCUUGUAACUGACGCUGAGGCUCGAAAGCGUGGGGAGCAAACAGGAUUAGAUACCCCAGUAGUCCCUGUCUCUUAUACC
rnacentral:rRNA from 1 species